UACGUAGGACGCAAGCGUUGUCCGGAAUCACUGGGCGUAAAGCGCGUGUAGGCGGACCUGCAAGUCUGCUGUGAAAGCCCUCGGCUUAACUGGGGGAGGUCGGUGGAAACUGCAGGUCUGGAGGCCGGUAGAGGGGGGUGGAAUUCCCGGUGUAGUGGUGAAAUGCGUAGAUAUCGGGAGGAACACCAGUGGCGAAGGCGACUUCCUGGCCUGUUCUUGACGCUGAGGCGCGAAAGCUAGGGUAGCAAACGGG
rnacentral:rRNA from 1 species